GAUCGAUCUUCUCGGGAGUAUUAGCUCAUGCGAAGAUCUUCUUCUUGGCCGAUCUGAAUUCUUUCUUCAAAUCUUUGAAACUUUUUCAGAGGUUGAAGAUGUUCUAGACGAGAUGAAGAGGUAAAAGAAAGAUAAAGAAGAAAAUAAUUUUUUUUUAAUUUAUUUUCUCUUUUCAAAUCCUUAGAAUCAAAAAUUUAAAAUUCAAAUUUUUGCGCACACCCCA
rnacentral:lncRNA from 1 species